rnacentral:rRNA from 1 species
GUGAGGAAUAUUGGUCAAUGGGCGAGAGCCUGAACCAGCCAUGCCGCGUGCAGGAAGAAUGCCCUAUGGGUUGUAAACUGCUUUUAUUUGGGAAUAAACCUUUCUACGUGUAGAAAGCUGAAGGUACUAAAUGAAUAAGCACCGGCUAACUCCGUGCCAGCAGCCGCGGUAAUACGGAGGGUGCAAGCGUUAUCCGGAAUCAUUGGGUUUAAAGGGUCCGCAGGCGGAUUAAUAAGUCAGUGGUGAAAUCUCAUAGCUUAACUAUGAAACUGCCAUUGAUACUGUUAGUCUUGAAUAUGGUCGAUGUGGGCGGAAUAUGACAUGUAGCGGUGAAAUGCUUAGAUAUGUUAUAGAACACCGAUAGCGAAGGCAGCUCACAAGGCCAUUAUUGACGCUCAUGGACGAAAGCGUGGGGAGCAAACAGGAUUAGAAACCCCAGUAGUCC